rnacentral:lncRNA from 1 species
AGGAGUUAGCCACAGGGAGGGCCGCGGGCCUGGGCUGAGUUGUGGGGGAGGAGGUGGCAGUUUAGGGCCUCAGGGGACAUAUGGGGGCGGUGACAGAGUCAGGCGAUACUGGCGGGCUGGGGGUGGGAGUGUGCCUGCUGGAGGCAGGUUAGAGGGGAGACUAGACCUUAGGGAAGUCUUGCAGGGCAGAGCUGCCUCGAAAGGGCCCGCAGGAACCCGGGGAGAGGAGCACACUCCAGGCCUGGGUGUCGCUGCUGCCCGCUGGAGAAGGGGAACUUGACCCCUGGGAGGGGGCCGAUUCCGCGUAGGCUGGGCGGCCCCCUGUGCCCUGCUUUGUCUGACGGAGGGAGGCAGAGACUGGAGGAGGCUGAGGGUCUCGCCACCCUUGCUGGAGGCGAUAUCUGGCCGUCGAUGCCCUGAACAUGAGCAAGAAGGCAGGCCGUGGGGUGCGGGGUCGCAGUUAGGCUGGGAAGGCAGCACUUGAACUUGUCAAUACCAGCCGCCCCCUUUUUUUCCAGACAAAGGGGUGUGAGCCCGCCUGGGGAUGAGGCCUGGUGUGGUGGCAACUGACCUUAGCUUCGCGGGCUGACAGCUCUGGCCCAGGGCGGUGGCAGUGCUCCCUUUUGGACUUUUCCUGUAGGUUCCGUGCUAACCUCUUCUUGUUCAUCAUGGCGAGCUGAUGGCACCAGGAGGAUGGAGCCUCUGGCCAGUGUGAGUCCUAGCAGUGCAGGAGGGGAGACCCUGGAGGAGAGAGCCCGCCUAAAUUGAUGUCUGCAGAUUGAAUUUCCAGAGGCUUAGGAGGAGGAAGUUCUCCAAUGUCCCGUGUCCAGGCCUUGGCUCAGGAAGCCCUGUAUUCAGGAGGCCACCCUUUAAGGGUGUCAAUGAGCUUGUGAGAGGGUGAUGGUUCCAAGUCCCAAGCAGAUGCAUCCGGGGUCGUCAGCAGAUGUGUUGAGUGUUUGAUCCGGAGCACCAACCUCUGGGCACGUUGAAUGCCAGCAGGCACCUCUCCUGUUCGGGGGUGGAGGUUUUCCGAUGGCUGCGUCUUCUAAUGCCUCCUGUCAUGCUAGUUCUGUGCUACGAACCUUGCUUCCAGAAGACUCUUAAGAUGUAGAACAUUUUAACGCUGAUGCCUCAACGCAGAGUGAUGCCUGGUAGAUGGAGCUUGCAGAUGGAGCCCAGGGACCCUGUCAUCUACUCACCUGCCUGCCCCAGCCUCGGUCGGAGGAAUUCUUAGUGUGAUGAUGUAACCUGUGUGUCCAGAAAGUGUUCACUGUUGAAACGCCUUAGGCCAAUACUCACAGGAAGCCACCUGGC